AGAUUUUCUUGCUGCCACUUUUCCUUAAUAUGGACGGUGCUUUGGUGCUGAAAUAUGGGUGGCUGGGCUGCUGCUGCUGACCGCCGCCACAUGCCGAAGGUUCAGGAUUGCGUGCAGUGGUGCUGGUAGAGCCCACUGCUGGCGGCAGUGGUGAUGGCGCCAUGCAUGAAGGUUCAGGAGGGUCCUUAAUUUUGAGGGUGCCUUAGAGCUCAUAAAUCGGUUCAGGAUGUCUUCCUCCACUCUGUUGGGGACAAGAAUCUCUGUGAGGACAAUGACAUGGCAGGGUAUGCUAGCUGGACCUGUAGCUGCUUGAUGCAUCAUAUUCGCCUGGCUUGAGCCACCUGUAGCUCCCUGAAUGCGAUGAUAUGGUUGCAAUCCAAGAACCACCAAAGAUUUACCCUAUGUUUGUUGGUCGGUGGUUUGGAAAUUCUGUUUGAUUGUC